rnacentral:misc_RNA from 1 species
CGUGGUAACUUGCGUAGCAGAAUAACAUCGUCAGCGGUCGGUCGCAGUCAGCCAUCAUCGUGAGAUGCGAAGCGAGUCGUAUGCGUUCUAUUCGUCUAAGUACAUAAAAAUAACGUAGCGGAACGUUGAAAAACGUUAUCAAGAAGAAUGCAUCCCAUCAUGGAGUUAGGAACAAGUGUACCGGCGUUUCUAGGUAAACUCUGGAAGCUCGUUGAGGAUCCUGAAACCGACGACCUUAUUUGUUGGGCACCCAAUGGAAGAAGUUUCUUUAUAAGGAAUCAAGCGCAGUUUGCCCGGGAAUUAUUGCCACAUUAUUACAAACACAAUAAUAUGGCUAGCUUUGUUCGACAAUUAAAUAUGUAUGGUUUUCAUAAAAAAGUAUCAGUGGACUUGGGUGGUCUGAAAUGUGACAGAGAUGAAAUGGAGUUUGCUCACCAGUAUUUUUGUAAAGGGCACCCAUAUUUAUUGGAACAUAUUAAAAGAAAAAUAGCAACAAAUAAAGGUCAAGAUCCAACACAAGCUCCAAUGAAACCUGAAUUGAUGAAUAAAAUGUUGUCAGAAGUAAGAAGUAUGAGAGGGCGUCAAGAACAUCUUGACUCCAGAUUAGGAGCAAUGAAGAGAGAGAAUGAGGCCUUGUGGAGAGAAUUAGCAAUGCUUAGGCAAAAGCAUCUUAAACAACAACAAAUUGUUAAUAAACUGAUUCAUUUCCUUGUUACAUUGGUGCAACCAUCUAGGAGUGGCGGGCUCUCUGUGAAAAGGCGAUAUCCUUUAAUGAUCGAUGAUUCCACAAGACAGAGAAAUAAACAGGCAAAAAUUUCUAAGGCACAGGUAUCCCCUACGGGUCCUGUCAUUCAUGAGUUAGAUGUAACUGAUUCAGACCUUGAAUCUCAAUAUAUUGUGGCAGAAAUGUUGGAAAACCAUGGAAGUCCAGCAGUGGAGAGUCCUGAACAUACUGAACCAUCAGGUUUUGAAGAUUCAGGUAUGGAAACUGUACGUUUGGGCAACAUUAAUGACCAGUCGCCUAAUGAGAUUCAAUUAGUUGAAUCUCAAAAUAUGGAACCAAAAAAGAAACGUGUUUGCAAAGGGAAAAAGAAGAGGAAAAACAAGAUGCCUGUAAAAAUUUUGAUUCCACCAGCAGAGAACGGCGAAAAACCCAGGGAAGAAACACUUAUGGUCGAAAUGUCACCCGAGGAUUCGGCAGUGUCGAUCGAAUUAUUGGAAAGUAACGUGACCAGCUCUUCGAAGCCGAUUCCAUUAGCCACCGUGAGAAGCUCCAAACUUGCAGCCAUGGCAGCCAACAUGAGCAACAACAAUGAUCUUGAACUGGAUCUAGAUCUUGACAGUUCUGCUUGUGCGGAAGAAGAUCCAAAACAGAAUGAUACUUCCCUUGUAAAACUCGAAGAUAUUUUAAUUAUACCAGAGAUCAUUGACGAAGAACAAGUUAAGAGCCAUCAAACAGAAGGUCAUAGCAAUAAUGGCAACAGCAGCGAUCCAAUAGAAAAAGAAAUUGAACAGUUGUCUUAUGACAGCGACGAAGACCAAAAUCUCGAAGGAAACGGGGACGAAGCGCACCAGUCCACAACAUCCGAAAACUCGAGAGACAAUGAGGAAGAAGGCACUCGCAGUUUGUCUAAAGACUUGAGUUGUGUCAGCGCUGCAGGAUUAUCAGAGACAGCUUACAGGUUAGAAUCAACAGAGGAAGUGGAUGUUCACCUAGAAACGAUGCAAUCCGAACUGGAGAACUUACGGGAGAUUUUACGUGGAGAAGGUUACAGUAUCGAUGCCAACACAUUAUUAGGAUUAUUUGGAGCAGAUGAUCCAAUGUCGUUUGGGGUCCCAAUGAAUCCUGAUUUGGAUCCACAUUCUAAUCGUGAAAAAGACGACGAUGACCACCCAGGUGGAUCAUUCAACGGAACGGAGGGAGGAGAACUGAUGGCGUACAAUCCUUCAUCAAACCUUUUAGAUUUUGGUGAUAUCUUCUUGGGUGCAACAACAUCGUCACCAGACGCGGAUGUUACGGGUACAUCAGUUGCCAACAAUUACAUCAAUCCUGAUCCUUUGGAUUUGGCAGAUUGUAAGACGUCUCUGCUUGACUCGCUGGCAAAGGCGAAUAAUUCAAAUUCUAUGACUUCAUAAAAGGUCUUUCUUAUGCUUCAUCACUUAUGUCUCUAACAACGCAAGCAAUUUGAGUUAUGCACUGGUAUUAAGCCUCGGAGGAAAGACUAUGGAUAUCCUAUCUAGGCAAUCAGUAAAUCCUUCAUUUUAGUUUACAAAGCGAAAUAGUAACUAAGCCCAUAUAUGCAAAGUAUUGUUAAGAGUGCGGUUUACAUUUGAGACACUAAUGUUGGACAAGACGCGGUGAGAACCGCCUGAACCUUCAGAGUUUCACAAGGCACAGAAUUGAAAUCGACUAUUCUAAUCUGUACGUCUUCGUGAACAUAUUAUCAGAAUACCAUUAAUCGUUGCAGAUCUUGAUCCAAAGUCAAAUAACCUCGUUCUUAUUUCUCAUCAAUACAUUCAGAGAAGUAUUCACCAGUAAUCGGGGAAGUAAAUAAGCAAUGCAGUUGGCUUUCCCGCAACAACUGCACCGCACCUCUUAUUUUUAACCACCUUUAUACGAAACUGUCUAUUUGAGAGAAUGAUAGAAGUAGCAACCGUCGAGCCUCGUAACAUUUACAAAUUAAUAAUUUCUUGCGCGCAUAUCGCAAGAUGCAUCGUCGUUAACUGGCUAACGCAAUGGUAGCAGUAGACUAUGUCUUUUUCUAGUUCUUCAUGAAAUCGAAAUCGUACACCCUAAAGUUUUUAUUAAAAUAACCAUGCCACUUAGAAGAUUCCACGUACAGUCGAGCAUCGAUUUUCCGUAAUAAUGAGGAACCCGCCAAGAUCUCGAACGUUUGAAAACUUUAGUAAUUUAGGGGCGUUCAUUACUGGCUGCUGUUCAAAUUGUUUUCAGGAGGCAUCUUGAAAAGGGUCAUUCCUAUUAAAGUGCGUCCAAACAUGAGCAUUCGUGUGCGUAAACAUGUUCACGUCUAGACCCACCUUUAAGAAAAUAUAAAUAUUUUCACCAUUUGUUACGAAAGGGAUGUACUGUGAUACUCUAAUGUUUAUUUGUAGGGAUACCCUCGUAUAGUAACGCGUAAUGUCAGCGAUUGGAGAAAAGCCGUUUUAAUUUUCUUGAACGGAUUAAGGAAAAACAUUCGUAUAAAGAUUUGUUGGCCUCUUUGCCGCAGCGUUACUAUAUCAGGGACUACUACACGUUUCUUUGGUACUCUUAAGAAAAACUAUUGCGUAAGGUUUAUAUUUUCGGAUACUUAUGUGUAGACUGUACAUAAUUGAUCCACGUAGUAAUAACAUCAGGCAUGUACAAGCUACGAUGGUUAUUAAUUGAGGCUUUGCAGUAAUAAGAUGUGAAUUAGAUAGUUAUGUGAAUAAAAGAGUAAGUUAUGAACUGCCCGAAUGUGUACAAUUCCUUAUACUCGGUAUAUGUUGGUCUUACGUAAAUAAUAUUAAUGUCCUUGAAUUAGCGCGAAGAGAAAGCAUCUAAAUUACUCCUGUAUUGUUCAGUGUACUUUGGUAUACUGAACAUUGACCACUGAUUGCUGAAACACUUGAACAUGCCUGAAUUACACUUUAGUUCGAUUUCUUGGUGUCUUGGAUAAUCGAUGCUGUGAGCUGUACGCUCAUAACAUAUUCUCCAUAAUUAAUUUCGGGACUGAAGGUAAUCAUUUUCUACGGAUCUUAGGUUGGGUUUUUAGUUUCUUUUUUUUUUGUAUGUAUAAUUAGAAAUCAUACGUUGAAAAUUCAAAGGUUAAAGUCACUUGUAGCCUUUGUCCGUUAUUCAAUUGACUUUUGUUCCUACGAAGUUUCAAUCCAAGUGGGAUGGCCUCUUGCUAAUGGAGAGUUUUAAAGUUAUUACUCUUCCGUGAGUCCAUGGGAAAAUUUCAAAGCAUGAGAUCCCCUGUAAAUAAUACACAUUCUGCAUAAUAUACAUGCAAUUCGUUUACUUAUUAUGUGAAGUCAGAAGUAUUUCAUAUUUAAUAUAUUUUAGAUAUUUCUACGUAUAAACGAAAUGUUUGAAAAAUCAUUACAAAUAUUAAAAUGUGUCUUAACCCUUUCGGUACUAAGAAUGACGAUAGUUACCUGGUAUGAAACAAACCAUAUACUGGAAGCAUUAUGUGCUAAAAAAGAAGUUCCCAUACUAUUUCAACGCUCUUUUCGUCCGAUCUCUCCAUUAAGAAGGGGUUAAAAUAUCACUAAUAGCCAAAUCAUACAUUGCAUCGAUGAAUGCAUUCGAUCCAUACACAAAGUGAAUUUAGUGUAACGACAUAGCAGAAAUAGUGAAAUGUAUCAUUACUGGUGAGGACGACUUCCAAUUACUCCUAAGUAAGGAUGUGCAUUUUAUAUCCGUCGCGCGCGCGCGUCUGAUGACCUUUUUACUAAUUAAUAAAAACAAAAAACUCGAACAGAAGUAAAAGUUUCACUGGGUUCACUUUGUUAUGAUAACUUUCAUUUGUGAUAAAUAAGACUUUUAAUACUUGUUCGUUUUUAAUGCCAUUGCAGCAGUACCUCUUACGCUGUCAUCGUUUUUUUUUUAAUUUCAUACUGUGGAUAUCAAAUGAACAUUUUUUCAUUUGCAUUAUCUAAUAAGCUGUAUAACUUUCUAAAUAUAUGUCAAGGGUCAUCUCACCAUUCGGGUUCAUUUAACGCAUUAAUAUAUUUGAAUUCAUUAUAUGAACAGUUAAACAUUGCAAAUAUUCAUUUGUUUUGUCUCUGGAAAGUUAGAUCCACACAGGUUUUUAUUUUUUUUCCAUUUUCUCUGGUGCGUAAUGUGUAUCGAUUUGAUUUUUUGUUCUACCCAUUAUAUAUUGUGAACAUACUGAUACGAAUUUACAUUGACGCCAUUGCUGAUACGUAGAAGUAUUAUAAACCACGAUAAUACUUUUCAAUAUCCUUUCAUAUUUUUUAUAUCAAUCUUUUCUGCGCUCUUAAGGGUUACAUGUAUUAUUAUUCAUUCAAUAUAAUUGGCACUGAUUAAUCAAAUAUAUUAUCAAAUUCUAUGCCCUAAAAUGAAAAUGGUAUAAAAGGCAGAUUCAUCAUUAUUAAAUUAAGCGUCUCAUUGAAAUAGUAAACUUCUUCUGGUUGAAAAAUAAUCAUAAAUGCAUGAUCUGAGAGUAAAUGUAACACAUGUUGUGCAUAUGUUAAGAAGUGAAAUAGUGCCCUUUGUUCUCAUAAGCUGUCUCCAAGACAUUGCAUAAAUUUACAAUUUAAUAAAAUCAGUAAUUUUACCGUUUAUGGAUCUUUUCUAGCAACCAGAUAAUCACUUUAAAUACAGUCAAAACCAUAACAAAACACGAUUAUUUCAUUGCAAAAUUGAGUAAUGGCAAAGGUUUUAAUUUACAUAAGACCUUUUGUUAUCGAUGAGUGACAUGAUAAUGACAUCUACAAAGACAGUAAUACAAUUAAACCAUCCCGGAAUAUUUAUGGUUACAGGUCGCGUAGUGAUUUUGUAUAUAAUUAUUAAUUGCAUAAACUUGUAGAUGUAUCAUAUGUUUACAAAAUUGUAAAAUAAAAUAAAAUGUGUUACGAAA